GUGUAGACUUCGGUCUGCUACCUCUUACCCAUGUCUUUUGAGUACCUUCGUUUCCUCGGCGGGUCCGCCCGCCGAUUGGACAACAUUCAAACCCUUUGCAGUUGCAAUCAGCGUCUGAAAAAACAUAAUAGUUACAACUUUCAACAACGGAUCUCUUGGUUCUGGCAUCGAUGAAGAACGCAGCGAAAUGCGAUAAGUAGUGUGAAUUGCAGAAUUCAGUGAAUCAUCGAAUCUUUGAACGCACAUUGCGCCCCUUGGUAUUCCAUGGGGCAUGCCUGUUCGAGCGUCAUUUGUACCUUCAAGCUCUGCUUGGUGUUGGGUGUUUGUCUCGCCUCUGCGUGUAGACUCGCCUUAAAACAAUUGGCAGCCGGCGUAUUGAUUUCGGAGCGCAGUACAUCUCGCGCUUUGCACUCAUAACGACGACGUCCAAAAGUACAUUUUUACACUCUUGACCUCGGAUCAGGUAGGGAUACCCGCUGAACUUAAGCAUAUCAAUAAGCGGAGGA
rnacentral:rRNA from 1 species